rnacentral:rRNA from 1 species
CCUACGGGAGGCAGCAGUAGGGAAUAUUGCUCACUGGGGGAAACCCUGAAGCAGCAACGCCGCGUGGAGGAUGAAGGUUUUCGGAUUGUAAACUCCUUUUGUUAGAGAAGAUAAUGACGGUAUCUAACGAAUAAGAACCGGCUAACUCCGUGCCAGCAGCAGCGCUAAUACGGAGGGUGCAAGCGUUAUUCGGAAUCAAUGGGCGUAAAGCGCGCGUAGGCGGGAUAGCAAGUCAGAUGUGAAAUCCUAUGGCUUAACCAUAGAACUGCAUUUUAAACUGUUAUUCUAGAGUAAGGGAGAGGUAGGUGGAAUUCUUGGUGUAGGGGUAAAAUCCGUAGAGAUCAAGAGGAAUACUCAUUGCGAAGGCGACCUGCUAGAACAUAACUGACGCUGAUGCGCGAAAGCGUGGGGAGCAAACAGGAUUAGAUACCCCGGUAGUC